CUGGGACCAGAAGGGUGAGGAAGGAGUGGAGUUGAGAUCUUCAACUCUGAGGGUCAUCUUCAAAAUCAAAAAGCUGACAACUUAAACCUAAACUUCAACUUUAGAAGCUAGUGAAUCUUCACUCAGAGAAAAGAGAGGAAAGAAUUUUUGCUAUUCUUUCACCAAAGCACUCAGAUAACUUUAUCUAUCAGCUUCUUAUUCAGUGAAACUAUGCUCUGGAAUGUGAGGUAGGGGCUAAAGCAGAAGACUGGGAGUCAGGACAGCUGGAUUCAACUCUUAAAUCACGUUACUGACAGAACCAAGACUUCUAACCUCUGUGGUCCUUAGUUACCCAUAAUUAAAAUGGAUAUUAUAAUAACAUAGGCUGUGAGGCUUAAUAGCUGCAUUAGACAAGAGAAGAAAUUAAAGGGGCCCAAAAAGGGCAAGAUAUUGCUGAGCGUUAUUCCAAAUUGUAGUAGAGCUGUUAAACACUGAGCUGUCAAGGGUAGACAGCGUUACAAGUGUGACAUUCUAAACUAUUCAUUGUCUUUUUAUUUUUUUUCUUGAUGCCUUUUUUGUCUUGUGCAAUGGUGACACGUGGAACACCUUGAAAAGAGAACCAUUUUGUCUGGAUACACUGAAGCUAUCCCAGCCCUCGGACCUACAGCAGGCCUUACUGUUAGCUUUGAAGGGAAGCAGGAGAGGCAACAGUUGGGAGCUGAAGGAACCACAGAAGGGGAAUACAAGUGCAGUUGCCCUGAACCUGUGACACUAGGAGUAUAUGCAAACUAUCAGGUUGGAGCCAAUCCUACAAACCUCCAUGUGUGGAAGAGCGCCUUUGAAGGCCGUACUGGGGGACAAUAUGGCUUCCCUGGCACUGCACCUCCAGACAGGUUACUCCCUUAUUGUGAUGUGGGUAAUCCCUCUUAAUGACCUGGCCAGAUGACUAAGCCACAAUUAAGGUUAUCCAAGUUUCACCGCAUGGGAUGACUGGAUAUCAUUCCUGGCAGCCCUCCACCAGUGGCAUAGCCUUGAAUUGGCAGAACCUUCACCAAUCCUCUACUCUGGGUUCUAGCCCAGAGUCUCUGCAAUCAGUAGCCAAGGUCUGCUCCAUCCUUAAACCCUGCUGCUGUUUUCCCUAGGCUGCUUCCUAUUCCACCUCUAUUAGUCUUCUUUCUCCACUAGCCCUCUGAGUAAACUCUUUCUUUCAGGGCUAGGAUCCCAGGGCUUCUACUCUCCCCCUGGGUUUUCUCCUUUUCCUCUCUAAGCCCAGAGAGUGACUGCAGCCUCCUUCCGCCCUCACCUCCUGACCUUACACAAGCCCCACCUGUUCCUUCUCAGGUGGGGUGCUUGCCUAUCAGGCCACACCUGAGGGAGACUUAGGCUUAUCAGGUUACUUAAUGUUUUCUGAGACACAUUAACCCUUUCUGGGCUAGUGUGGGAUGAACAUCCCACUGCAGAACAGUAAGAUAAGUAAUCUCCUAGUUUAAAUACACACAGCAGGUAUCACAAACAAAAUUCUGACUU